rnacentral:rRNA from 1 species
UACGUAGGGACCAAGCGUUGUUCGGAUUUACUGGGCGUAAAGGGCGCGUAGGCGGCGUGACAAGUCACUUGUGAAAUCUCCGGGCUUAACUCGGAACGGCCAAGUGAUACUGUCAUGCUAGAGUGCAGAAAGGGCAAUCGGAAUUCUUGGUGUAGCGGUGAAAUGCGUAGAUAUCAAGAGGAACACCUGAGGCGAAGGCGGGUUGCUAGGCUGACACUGACGCUGACAGCGCGAAAGCCAGGGGAGCAAACGGG